rnacentral:lncRNA from 1 species
UGUAGGACACAUCACUGGGUCACAGAUCACCGUCUUUUUCUGCACACGGUGAAGCAGGUGUUGUACUGCGGUGUCCACUGUGAGCCGUGUGUGUGUUGUUCUCCCUCAAAGAAGCAGGAGUGUACGUGAGUGUGUGUGUCUUUGCGCAGCUCCGUCGGCUCCCGUGUGAACAGCAGAUCCUCAAACUCCGGCUCCUCCAGAAACUCAGCGCGGGGCGCCGGGGACUCACAGUGGUUCGGGACGUGGAUCUGAUGACCACACACA